rnacentral:rRNA from 1 species
GGGCCGCAGCAGGCGCGAAAACUUUACAAUGCGAGAAAUCGUGAUAAGGGAACCCCGAGUGCCCGUAAAUUCGGGCUGUCCGCCAGUGCAAAAAACUGGUGAAGAAAGAGCCGGGCAAGACCGGUGCCAGCCGCCGCGGUAAUACCGGCGGCUCGAGUGGUGGCCACUAUUACUGGGCUUAAAGCGUCCGUAGCUUGGUUGUUAAGUCUCCUGGGAAAUCCAUCGGCUCAACCGAUGGGCGUUCAGGAGAUACUGGCAACCUAGGGACCGGGAGAGGUGAGAGGUACUCCAGGGGUAGGAGUGAAAUCCUGUAAUCCUUGGGGGACCACCUGUGGCGAAGGCGUCUCACUAGAACGGCUCCGACAGUGAGGGACGAAAGCUGGGGGAGCAAACCGGAUUAGAUACCCGGGUAGUCCCAGCUGUAAACGAUGCGCGUUAGGUGUAUCGGUGACCACGAGUCACCGAGGUGCCGAAGAGAAA